AAGAACUUAAGGGGACCUCUGAGUAAUGGCGAAUGAAAAGAGAUGUGCUCAGUAUCAAAAUCAGGCAUUUCUGACUUGUAGACUGCAGGGGCUAUGCCAACUUGGGUGCAGAUAUGAGUCUCUUGGAAUGGAGCACCAAUGAGGGUCAAGGUCCCACUUGCCAUCUGUUACCCCUUGUAGACGGUUUGCCCACAGAGAGGCGUGUUCUUCUGGAAUAGAGCACCAAUGGGUGGUACUCUCCGCCUAAGGAGCAUCAUAUCCUUGAGACCAAUAGUAAACAAGUACCAUGAGGGAAGGAUGAAAAGGACUUUGGAAAGAGGGUUAAGAGGACAUGAAGCUGCUGGAAGGGAAGUGGAGUGGACUUCUCUUUGUUGCAAGAUUGCAUGGUGGAUCUCUCGCUUGCGAGACAAACUGCUGAGUGUGUCUUGCUGCUUGGUUGAGCUUUGUGUGGCGUCCAGAAUCUAAGCUUGAAUUUGCUGAAAGGUUGCGGCUUGACACAGGUCCAUUUUGCUGUUGGCGCAACACAUUUGGUCUACCAAAUGAUUCACUCUCACCCGUCUUGAAACACGGACCAAGGAGUCUAAUGUGUGUGCGAGUGAAAGGGGUUGACGCCUGACAGCUCAACAAAAGUGACUGCUGGGAGUCUUGCGCCAGCAACCAACUGAUCACUCAGGAGAUGUUUGUGUGUGAGCAUACUUGCUAGGACCCGAAAGGUGGUGAACUAUGCCUGAGAAGGGUGACGUCAGGGGAAACUCUGAUGGAAGCUCGUAGCGCUACUGACGUGCAAAUCGUUCGUCUGACUUGGGUAUAGGGCGAAUGACCAAUC
rnacentral:rRNA from 1 species